AUCCUUUUUAGUCGCUGUUAGAAAUGUUACGCUGGCCCUUUAAGAGGUGAUAAUGAGCUGAGGAGUCUUGCUCUUGUGUUCCUCCGGUGAGCAGCGCGCUUGAUCAGGCAGCUCGAACAGUGCUCGCGGGGUAAAGAAGGGAUGCUUUUGAAGAGCAGUGUAGAAAGUGUUUCAUAAGGCCCUCGUGUGUGCUCCAGGAACCGUGAGACACAUCAAGAGAAAGAGGCGAGUUUGUCACAUGCUGUGUUAGUGUGUUGUGCACCAGCGUGAAGAAACAACAGUGAGUUGUUAUUAAUUCAUUUGUAUGGUUGUGUAAUAUGCUUGUGUACAGUGUUACUGAAGCAAUUAUUAGUUAAAUGGGGAAUUCAUGUUUAACAUGUGCGUAAUAUAUCGACCAUUCUGAAGAGUUGAAUAUGUUGUGGAGAUUUUACUUUCAUGUAUUUCUGAUGGAAUUGCAGCAGCUUACUUUUUGUUUUGACACUCUUGUUUGUCUAUUUUCCAGCAGGCUGCUACCGUUGUCUAUGUUAGCCGUACAUUAUUCGAUUGUGGUAAUCCACGCCCUCUCUCUGAUUCCCAAAUUGUACCAAAAUUAACGCUGCACAGAUUAAAGUGUAGUCUGGAAUAAAAGACCCCUUUUUGACUUUUCAUCCUGUGUCCGGUGCCAUUGCUUUUGCACGGUCCUGGCCACACAUAUAAGACUUUCAAAUACAGUAGCAGGAAGACUAGGUAUCCAUCUGUUUUGCUACCCGUUGCGUCAUGCAGCUCGCUCCACCGAAUGUAAGUCCGUCAGAUAUUGAUUCGUGUUCGAUUACUCUAUCUCUUUUCCUCUUUGUUUUUUUUGCUGGCUCUGCCAUGGUGAUGGUUUGGAGACUUGCGUUAAACUAGAUCAUUUCGUCUUAUUGUUAGCUGUUGGCUAGCUUCACCCAGGCUACGAGUAAAACGUGACAUACCGUAAAGCAGGUGAUGGGCGGGGCUUGUGUGCCUACCCGCACACCAAAGUUACAAGUGUGAUUUCAGCCGAUAGAGGGCUGCUUAGGUAGCAGCAGGGGCGUAGCUACAUGGUGGCCACGGGUGGCGACGGCUACCCCUGAAUGAUGGACGGCCACCUAUCUGGCCACCUCUGUUGUGCGAAGCAGUUUUAAGAUGUUUGUCGGAGUUUACGGAGUGCGUAUGCAUUGAAAGUAAUGCGAGACCAUUACUCUCGCGUUAUUAUGAUGUCAUACGCUGACGCACUGACGCAAACAGUCUGAGCGCUAUAGCUGAACAGCUGCUAACCACUUCGUGACAGUGUACUGUCUGUGUACCAUGGAAGUUCAUCACGAGCAGAAGGAUCAGGUCAGUAAAAGCAGUCUUGUUUAACUGGAUUUCAUUCAUUAAUUACAUUUUCGCAAACGUUUAAGUUGGGGUUCUGCAAUGAUUAUUUUCUAUUAAAAAAAGCUAACUUACUGCAAAUGAUAGCUAGCAAAUUAUUUAAAAAUAAUGUUAGCACUUGAAAGCAUUGCAAAUAAAUGGUUUACUUUACGUUCUUUGUGUAUGCUUUUGACCAGCAAACUAUGUGUAAUUGAAGAAUUGGUGUAAAUUACAGUAGAAGUUAAAGAAUUUCUGUCUGUAAGGAUUUUUUGGGUCACCCUAAUAAAAUCACUGGGUCUUACCUGGCCACCUCUAAAAAAAAAGUUCUGGCUAUGCCCCUGGGUAGCAGCGGCAGUAAAAUCCGUCCAGUUAAGAGUUGUCCUACCACUAAAAUAAUUUUAGAGAGAUUAUUUUAAAGUCGUAAAACUCCCAAGUGUUGCUUUUAAUACCGGAUAUAUUUUGGAACUGAAUUCCAUAGAAUACGCUGCCCUAAUAAGAUAUACUGUAAGUCUUAAUAGGGCAGUAGGUGUUUUAUCAAGAAUGUCAAGAUAAGUUUGUUUCAUACUUACUGAAAACAAGUCAUGCAUGUUUGUUGAUUCACUUUAAGUAUUUACACACAGUCUGUUUGUCUCUUAACAAAAAAGUUUAGCUUUAAAAAAAGUUUAGCUUUAAAAUGUAUAAUAUUUUUAUGCCCCACAUAUGAGGCAUCAAAAUUAUUUUAGUAGACCAUUGGUUCUCAGCUCUGGCCCUGGAUACCUGCAGUUACUGCACAUUUUGUUAUGACUCGGAGAGGAACAAAAGGUUCGGAGACUCAAUUGCGGGUAAUGAAACAGAUUUUAUUUGUAAUAGUCCAACAGAAUCACCAGGCGACACCAGCCUUGAGAACAGGAACCACGUGAGUCCGUGGAGAGCUAGCUCGACCCGACGGCACUCACGGUGAGAAACAGCGGACAAAUUACGAAUGGGGAAUCCUGGCUCCUCCGAGGUGCACGCUCAGCGGGGAGAAGGCUCGACCCUUGCCAGAAUCCGAACAGCAGAGGCGAUCGCUGGAGAAGUGGUGUCGGGUAGUGCAGAGAGCAGUGGUCCGAGAUGCCAAUGGGUACUGAGGGACACAGGAGUAGAUGACAGAGAAGCAAAAGGCACUGGAGCAAUAUGAAGAAACAAACAAAACUAAGACAAGAUAACUAAGACAAGACUUGAGAUAGCAGUACUAGAACACGCUAGACUGAGGCAGUCAGAGCUGGCAAUAACACGCAACGGUCUGACACAAGACAAAAGAACAAGAGGGAUUAAAUAGAGGGGACCUAAUCAGUGGGGAAUGAACAACAGGUGAAUAAUAAUGAGCCAGGGGGGACUGCUAAUUAGGGACGAGCUACAGGAGUGUAGAUGAUGAGGUGAUGGAAACCCUGUGAGGGGAAGCCUGAAGGGGAGACACGGGGGCGGGGCUAGUGACGUAGACACUAAACACGUGGAGAGCCGUCAAGACGGUUCCACAAGAGUUUGACAAAACAAAACAAACACUCACACAAGACAAAAAGGCCACGACAAGACUGAGAUCAUGACACAUUUUGUAUGUUUUUUUUUAAUGUGAUUUGUACAGUUCAAUGUACAUAAAACCUACACAAGCAAGGUAAGUCUUUAAGGGAAAAAAUGUGACUGACUUCACACCGACCAAGAAUCAGUGCUGCAGACAACUCAGUUAUGUCAUUUGUAAUAUGUAAUGUGCACAGCUCAUUGUAUGUAAACUAAUUUCAGUUUAACUUGUAAAUAUUAACUUUCAGUUUUUAAAUUCAAAAUACAUUGCUUAUCCAUGUAGGCUAUUAUGCUUCAUCUGACAAUGUAUCUCAGGGGAUAUGCACAUAUCAAAAUGUGCUACGUAACAGCAUGAACAACAUAGGUUUUUAGAAUUUUUGUGUUAUCUGACAUUAGUUUUCAGAUGUGUUGUUUUUCUUUUCGAUUUACCUUGUUUUCAGAUUUUGUAUUUUAUUUUAAAUAUUAUCUGUCAUUAGUGUGCCCUGAACCAGGUUAACAGAUUACUUUAUAUUUCUCUAAAAACAUCAAAAUUGUCUUGUCACGCUGUGUACACAACUUUUUGAUUCUCAUUACCAAUGCAGGUAGGCUAGUUUUCUACAUAUUAAAAUUGUUACAUGUAUAACUUUCUAUUAAAAUAUAAUUCAUGACUGUCUAAUGAUGUAUGAUUAAUAAAAACUUGGCAUCUCUUUUUUAGCAAAACAUGCUUUUGGAUUUACAGUUUUUAAAUGGUUAUGGUAAUGAGAU